GGAAGUCAGCGCCGUGAAGUGUGAAAGCAAGACGGAGAGUGCGCGGGGCCCCCUUACGUGCCUCCAGUCUGUUGCGGGUGCCAGUUCAUCAGCAAGCCACCAGGACGUACAAAUGCGCGUCAGGAGCGGUGUAUUGGAGGCCUCAGUGUCCCUGGACCACUCCGCUGCUGCCUGGGUUCAGUCUGUGCAGCAUGGGUUUGGAAAGGACCUGGAUGAAGAUUUUGGCCAACUCAGUGUGAUUGUUCCUGGUGACCAGCCCUCCCGACUGAGCCCCUGAGUCAUCAGCCUUCACUCACACAGAUGCAGAAGCUGGCAGACGCUCUGACUUCCCCUCUAAGGCUGCCCACUCAGUGCUGCUCACGAUGAUGGCUGUCUCGCUUAGCUCCUGGUUUGUGUCUUGGGAGUGGAAUUUAGUCUGUUAUCUGUAUUACAAUUACAAGGAAAAAAACAUGCAAAUAGAUGUGUAACAUAAAGUGAGGGGUUAUUUUUGAAAGUCACCCAGCCAGCUUCUACAGUCAGGUCAUUGAUGAGAAACCAUACACUUGUUUGUGAAAGAUUGUUCCAGAAGCAUUGGAAAUCCGAGUAGGAAUAAGUCAGAUUAAUUUUCAAAAUUCACAGGGAUAAACUUUUCAUUAUGAAAUCGUGAAUGUUCUCUUCUAUUUAAAUUCAGAUGUGGUUAGCUCCUUUUAGAUAUGUUACAAUAAUAAAUAGUAGACUGACGGGGUGGCA
rnacentral:lncRNA from 1 species